UCCGUCACCACAGCAGAUGCCACCGUGGUGGGGGUGGAGUAGACGGAGGCCAUCUGCUGCAGUCCUGCCAUCAGACAGCGCCAGCUGAACCGCAGCGCCUUCCCCACGUUCUGUCCGCCCGGGAACAGAAAACAGAGACAGGCACGCGGACGCAGACCGCGUCACGGGACGUCUGGACCGUCUGCUCACCUCAACAGACUUCACUGUGAGGAUCACAGACAGGAUCACAGACUCCCACCUGGCUGUACUGCAGUACUCACUGAUUCACCUGCGAUGCUUCACACUCAGUGUGAGUCAUAAACUGUGAUGUUAUCGUGAUGUUGCCUCAACGUUAUCAGAGUGUUUUGUCCAGACUGAACGGCUCAAAGGUCGUCACUCCUCCUUACCUUCCUGUACUUCUUGUACUUCUUCUUCUUCCUCCUCUUCUUCUCCUCCUUCCUCUGCCUCCUCUCCUCUGCUGUCUCCUCCUCCU